GCGGCUGUAGCUCAGUUGGUAGAUUCCGGAUUGUGAUUCCGGUUGUCGUGGGUUCAAUCCCCAUCAGUCGCCCCA
rnacentral:tRNA from 1 species